GUCGCCAAGCGGUAAGGCAGCGGGUUUUGGUCUCGCCAUUCCUAGGUUCGAAUCCUAGC
rnacentral:tRNA from 11 species